AAUUUUGGAGAAUGGGGGAGACCCUGAUCCAGCCAUCCCGCGUGUAUAAUGAAGGGCUUCGGGUUGUAAAGUAUUCUUUUCAGAGAGGAAAAGGUAUCGCCGAAUCUGAGAUAUUGCGGACGGUAUCUGCAGUUUAAGCACCGGCUAACUUCGUGCCAGCAGCCGCGGUAAUACGGAGGGUGCAAGCGUUAAUCGGAAUUAAUGGGCGUAAAGCGUGUAUAGGCGGUGCAGAAAAAAAGAUGUUGAAACCCAGGGCACAACCUUGGAACUGCAUUCUUAACUGCCUAGCUAGAGUAUGUCAGAGGGGUGUAGAAUUCCACGUGUAGCAGUGAAAAGCGUAGAUAUGUGGAGGAAUACCGAUGGCGGAGGCAGCCCCCUGGGAUAAUACUGACGCUCAGACCCGAAAGCGUGGGGAGCAAACA
rnacentral:rRNA from 1 species